rnacentral:rRNA from 1 species
UACGUAGGCAGCAAGCGUUGUUCGGAGUUACUGGGCGUAAAGGGUGUGUAGGCGGUUGUUUAAGUUUGGUGUGAAAUCUCCCGGCUCAACUGGGAGGGUGCGCCGAAUACUGAAUGACUUCGAGUGCGGGAGAGGAUAGUGGAAUUCCUGGUGUAGCGGUGAAAUGCGUAGAUAUCGAGAGGAACACCUGCGGCGAAGGCGGGUUGCUGGGCUGACACUGACGCUGAUGCGCGAAAGCCAGGGGAGCGAACGGG